CCUACGGGCGGCAGCAGUGGGGAAUAUUGGACAAUGGGCGAAAGCCUGAUCCAGCCAUGCCGCGUGUGUGAAGAAGGCCUUCGGGUUGUAAAGCACUUUCAGUGGGGAAGAAAGCCUUGGGGCUAAUACCCUCGAGGAAGGACAUCACCCACAGAAGAAGCACCGGCUAACUCCGUGCCAGCAGCCGCGGUAAUACGGAGGGUGCGAGCGUUAAUCGGAAUUACUGGGCGUAAAGCGCGCGUAGGCGGUCUGAUAAGCCGGUUGUGAAAGCCCCGGGCUCAACCUGGGAACGGCAUCCGGAACUGUCAGGCUAGAGUGCAGGAGAGGAAGGUAGAAUUCCCGGUGUAGCGGUGAAAUGCGUAGAGAUCGGGAGGAAUACCAGUGGCGAGGCGGCCUUCUGGACUGACACUGACGCUGAGGUGCGAAAGCGUGGGUAGCAAACAGGAUUAGAUACCCUUGUAGUC
rnacentral:rRNA from 1 species